rnacentral:lncRNA from 1 species
UGGCGACCCCAUUGGAUUGAUGGUUUUGGCGUGAUAGAUGAAAACGACAUUGGACGACAUUAGGGACAUGAACUUUGAAGUUUCAUAAAUAUAACAUUUUUUAAAUAAUCUGUAUGUAUUCAAUAGAGAAAGUUGUUACAUUGAUAUGAAGAAAACGUAUUGGUCAAAUAAUUGAAUCAUAGCUACAUGUUAGUAAUUCAUUGCUGAAAACAGUAAUAUAAGACAAUGAUAGUUGCGAACUUACAAAAUGGUAUUGAUCAGUCCAUAACAGAUAUUGGUAAUUUUCGUUUGUUCAUC